rnacentral:rRNA from 1 species
UACGGAGGGUGCAAGCGUUAUCCGGAUUUACUGGGUUUAAAGGGUGCGUAGGUGGGUCUGUAAGUCAGUGGUGAAACCUCCGAGCUUAACUCGGAAACUGCCAUUGAUACUAUAGGUCUUGAAUUAUCUGGAGGUAAGCGGAAUAUGUCAUGUAGCGGUGAAAUGCUUAGAUAUGACAUAGAACACCAAUUGCGAAGGCAGCUGGCUACACGAAUAUUGACACUGAUGCACGAAAGCGUGGGGAUCAAACAGG